GACUUUGUUAUAUAAGAGCCACCAGUAGAUGGCCACUUCCACAACCAGAGCGGGGACAGAACUUCAGAAACAGUCCCGGAGCACUCUGUAUGGCAGACCAUCACAGACGUAAAGGCCAGUGUGCUUAUCUGGAGACCAAAGAUUAUCCUUGCCCGGUCAAUAUGACGGCCUGGAGCCCUUUCUGGGAAGAUACUGAAUGAGCUGAUGGCUCCCAGGAAGAAUGUCCCUGCAGUUCACACCUGAUUGCAAAAUACUCCCCCGGCUGCCAGGAGCCUCACUGGUGAAAGCACUUAGCACUGUCUCCAGGGCUGAUCUGAAGGCUAUAAUUCGUAACUGAGAAGUUUCUCCUGGAUG